CAUGUCUAUAUGGUUGUUAUAUAAAGUCUAGCCUGCCCACUGAUUUAGUUUAAAGGGCCGCGGUAUAUUGACCGUGCGAAGGUAGCAUAAUCAUUAGUCUUUUAAUUGAAGGCUUGUAUGAAUGGUUGGACAAAAAGUAAGCUGUCUCAAUUAUAAUAAUUGAAUUUAACUUUUAAGUGAAAAGGCUUAAAUAAAUUAAGGGGACGAUAAGACCCUAUAAAGCUUGACAAUAAUUUAAUUAUACUAUCAAUUGUUAGUAUAACUUGGUUUUAAUUAAUAUUUGUUGCGUUGGGGCGACGAGAAUAUAAUAGGUAACUGUUCUUAAAUAUUUAAUAACAAAUAUAAUUGGAAAUUAGUGUGAUCCUCUAUUAGCGAUUAAAAGAUUAAGUUACUUUAGGGAUAACAGCGUAAUCUUCUUUGAGAGUCCCUAUCGACAAGAAGGUUUGCGACCUCGAUGUUGAAUUAAGGUAUCCUUAUGAUGCAG
rnacentral:rRNA from 1 species